UACAGAGGGUGCAAGCGUUAAUCGGAAUUACUGGGCGUAAAGCGUGCGCAGACGGUUGCGUAAGUCAGAUGUGAAAGCCCCGGGCUCAACCUUGGAAUUGCCUUCAAAACUGACGAUCUAGAGUAUGGAAGAGGUAAGUGGAACUCCGAGUGUAGAGGUGAAAUUCGUAGAUAUUCGGAAGAACACCAGUGGCGAAGGCGACUUACUGGUCCAUGACUGACGCUGAGGCUCGAAAGCGUGGGGAGCAAACAGG
rnacentral:rRNA from 1 species